rnacentral:rRNA from 1 species
UACAGAGGGGGCAAGCGUUAUUCGGAAUUAUUGGGCGUAAAGGGCGCGUAGGCGGCCUGGCAAGUGGAUGGUGAAAUCCCUCGGCUUAACCGAGGAACUGCCAUCCAGACUGCUUGGCUUGAGACCGGGAGAGGUGAGUGGAAUUCCCAGUGUAGCGGUGAAAUGCGUAGAUAUUGGGAGGAACACCGGUGGCGAAGGCGGCAUCCUGGACCGAGAUUGACGCUGAUGCGCGAAAGCCAGGGGAGCAAACGGG